UACGAAGGGGGCUAGCGUUGCUCGGAAUUACUGGGCGUAAAGCGCACGUAGGCGGAUUGUUAAGUCGGGGGUGAAAUCCUGGAGCUCAACUCCAGAACUGCCAUUGAUACUGAAGAUCUUGAGUUCGGGAGAGGUGAGUGGAACUGCGAGUGUAGAGGUGAAACUCGUAGAUAUUCGCAAGAACACCAGUGGCGAAGGCGGCUCACUGGCCCGAUACUGACGCUGAGGCACGAAAGCGUGGGGAGCAAACAGG
rnacentral:rRNA from 1 species